CACUGCUAAAAUGGUCUAGACUGCUAAAUAGUGCCAAGAAGGAGAUGAAAACUCCUGAGGACAUUUGCUCAACUUGGGUCACAUUUCCCACAAGUGUGUCCUUUCUGCUCUCCGCACUCCAUCCACGAGCAGCGUUGACCUGUGAACAUACCGGGGGUCAUCUGAGCCCAGCACACCCAUGCCACUUGUGUCAGCUGACCUAGAGAACACUUCACAGCUGUGUGCUCUGUGCAAG
rnacentral:lncRNA from 1 species